UACGGGGGGGGGUAAGCGUUGUUCGGAAUUACUGGGCGUAAAGGGCGCGUAGGCGGCCAUCUAAGUCAGACGUGAAAUCCCCCGGCUUAACCUGGGAACUGCGUCUGAUACUGGACGGCUUGAGUAUGGGAGAGGGAUGUAGAAUUCCAGGUGUAGCGGUGAAAUGCGUAGAUAUCUGGAGGAAUACCGGUGGCGAAGGCGGCAUCCUGGACCAUUACUGACGCUGAGGCGCGAAAGCUAGGGGAGCAAACGGG
rnacentral:rRNA from 1 species